rnacentral:rRNA from 1 species
CCGCCCGUCACACCAUGGGAGUCGAUUGCUCCAGAAGUGGCUGCGCCAACCCGCAAGGGAGGCAGGUCCCCCAAGGAGUGCUCGGUAACUGGGGGUNAAGUCGUAAACAAGGGUAUC